rnacentral:rRNA from 1 species
AUUGAACGCUGGCGGAAUGCUUUACACAUGCCAGUCGAACGGCAGCACGGGGGCAGCCCUGGUGGCGAGUGGCGAACGGGUGAGUAAUACAUCGGAACGUGCCCGGUCGUGGGGGAUAACGUAGCGAAAGUUACGCUAAUACCGCAUACGAUCUGAGGAUGAAAGCGGGGGACCUUCGGGCCUCGCGCGAUCGGAGCGGCCGAUGUCAGAUUAGGUAGUUGGUGGGGUAAAGGCCUACCAAGCCGACGAUCUGUAGCUGGUCUGAGAGGACGACCAGCCACACUGGGACUGAGACACGGCCCAGACUCCUACGGGAGGCAGCAGUGGGGAAUUUUGGACAAUGGGCGCAAGCCUGAUCCAGCCAUUCCGCGUGCAGGACGAAGGCCUUCGGGUUGUAAACUGCUUUUGUACGGAACGAAAAGGCUCUGGCUAAUACCUGGGGCUCAUGACGGUACCGUAAGGAUAAGCACCGGCUAACUACGUG